UUGCGUCCAUAUCACGCUGAAACACCUAUUCUCGUACGAUCACUGAAGUUGAGCAACGUCGAGCCUGGUUAGUACCUCGAUAGGUGGCUGCUUUGGAAUAUCAGGGGCU